rnacentral:rRNA from 1 species
GAUGAACGCUGGCGGCGUGCCUAAUACAUGCAAGUCGAGCGACGCGGGGACGGGUGAGUAACACGUAGAUAACCUCCUAUACGACUGGGAGAACUUCGGGAAACCGGAGCUAAACCGUAAACUUAUAGAGGGCUCCGCGCUGCAUUAGCUAGUUGGUAAGGUAACGGCUUACCAAGGCAACGAUGCAUAGCCGGCCUGGGAGGGUGACCGGCCACACUGGAACUGGGACACGGCCCGGACUCCUACGGGAGGCAGCAGUAGGGAAUAUUCCGCAAUGGGCGAAAGCCUGACGGAGCAACGCCGCGUGAGUGAUGAAGGUCUUCGGGUCGUAAAGCUCUGUUAUUAGGGAAGCGUUACCUAAUCAGAAAGCCCCGGCUAACUACGUGCCAGCAGCCGCGGUAAUAC